GACGAACGCUGGCGGUGUGCUUAACACAUGCAAGUGGUGCGACGAACCAGAGCUUGCUCUGGGGCAAAGCCGCGAACGGGUGAGUAACACGUGGGUAAUCUACCCCGAUGACCGGGACAACCCGAGGAAACUCGGGCUAAUACCGGAUGUGGUGCGGAGACAUAAGUCUCUUCACUAAAGGUAGCUUCGGCUUCCGCAUUGGGAGGGGCCCGCGGCCCAUUAGCUUGUUGGUGGGGUCAAGGCCUACCAAGGCAACGAUGGGUAGCUGGUCUGAGAGGACGAUCAGCCACACUGGGACUGAGACACGGCCCAGACUCCUACGGGAGGCAGCAGUGGGGAAUCUUGCGCAUUGCGCGAAAGCGUGACGCAGCAACACCGCGUGAGGGAAGAAGGCCUUAGGGUUGUAAACCUCUUUCAGAUGGGACGAAGGUUCUCCGGUGAAUAGCCGAGAGGAUUGACGGUACCGUCAGAAGAAGCUCCGGCUAACUACGUG
rnacentral:rRNA from 1 species